GACGAACGCUGGCGGCGUGCCUAACACAUGCAAGUCGAACGGAACUUACCGAAUGAAGUUUUCGAAUGGAUUUUGAUAAGUUUAGUGGCGGACGGGUGAGUAACGCGUGAGUAACCUGCCUUCAAGAGGGGAAUAACGUUCUGAAAAGAACGCUAAUACCGCAUAAGCGCACAGCAUCGCAUGAUGCAGUGUGAAAAACUCCGGUGGUGUGAGAUGGACCCGCGUUGGAUUAGCUAGUUGGCAGGGCAGCGGCCUACCAAGGCGACGAUCCAUAGCCGGCCUGAGAGGGUGAACGGCCACAUUGGGACUGAGACACGGCCCAG
rnacentral:rRNA from 1 species